GGGUGUUAGGGCACGACACCGGAGAGGGAGCCUGAGAACGGCUACCACAUCCAGGAUGGCAGCAGGCGCGCAAAUUACCCAAUCCCAACACGGGGAGGUAGUGACAAUAAAUAACAAUACGGGGUUCUUUCGGAUUUCGUAAUUGGAAUGAGUACAAUUUAAAUCUCUUAACGAGGAACAAUUGGAGGGCAAGUCUGGUGCCAGCAGCCGCGGUAAUUCCAGCUCCCAAUAGGCGUAUAUUAAAGUUGUUGCAGUUAAAAAGCUCGUAGUUGAAUUUCGGGAUCGAUUAAUUGGUCGUGCCUCUGGUACGUACUGAUUUUAUUGGUUUCUCCCUUCUGACGAACCAUGAUGUCAUUAAUUUGAUGUCGUGGAGAAUCAGGACUGUUACUUUGAAAAAAUUAGAGUGUUUAAAGCAAGCUAACGCUUGAAUACAUUAGCAUGGAAUAAUGAAAUAGGACGUUUGAUCCUAUUUUGUUGGUUUCUAGGAUCGACGUAAUGAUUAAUAGGGAUAGUUGGGGGGCAUUAGUAUUCAAUUGUCAGAGGUGAAAUUCUUGGAUUUUAUUGAAGACUAACUACUGCGAAAGCAUUUGCCAAGGAUGUUUUCAUUAAUCAAGAACGAAAGUUAGGGGAUCGAAGACGAUCAGAUACCGUCGUAGUCUUAACCAUAAACUAUGCCGACUAGGAUCGGGAUGAUGUUUAAUUUUUUAAUGACUCAGUCGCGCCUACGGAAACCAUG
rnacentral:rRNA from 1 species